rnacentral:rRNA from 1 species
GUGAGGAAUAUUGGUCAAUGGGCGAAAGCCUGAACCAGCCAUGUCGCGUGAAGGAUGAAGGUCCUAUGGAUUGUAAACUUCUUUUGCAGGAGGGUAAAGUGAGCUACGUGUAGUUCAUUGCAAGUACCCUGCGAAUAAGCAUCGGCUAACUCCGUGCCAGCAGCCGCGGUAAUACGGAGGAUGCGAGCGUUACCCGGAUUUAUUGGGUUUAAAGGGUGCGUAGGCGGACUGAUUAGUCAGCGGUGGAAUGUUGCGGCUGAACCGUGUAACUGCCGUUGCAACUGUUAGUCUUGAGUGCGGUAGAGGUAGGCGGAAUGUGUGGUGUAGCGGUGAAAUGCUUAGAUAUCACACAGAACACCGAUUGCGUAGGCAGCUUACUGGAGCGCAACUGACGCUGAGGCACGAAAGCGUGGGGAUCGAACAGGAUUAGAAACCCUGGUAGUCC